UACGUAGGGUGCAAGCGUUAAUCGGAAUUACUGGGCGUAAAGCGUGCGCAGGCGGUUGUGUAAGACAGAUGUGAAAUCCCCGGGCUCAACCUGGGAACUGCAUUUGUGACUGCACAGCUGGAGUGCGGCAGAGGGGGAUGGAAUUCCGCGUGUAGCAGUGAAAUGCGUAGAUAUGCGGAGGAACACCGAUGGCGAAGGCAACUCCCUGGCCUGCACUGAC
rnacentral:rRNA from 1 species